UCGACCGCCUGGGGAGUACGGCCGCAAGGUUAAAACUCAAAUGAAUUGACGGGGGCCCGCACAAGCGGUGGAGCAUGUGGUUUAAUUCGAUGCAACGCGAAGAACCUUACCUGGUCUUGACAUCCACGGAAGUUUUCAGAGAUGAGAAUGUGCCUUCGGGAACCGUGAGACAGGUGCUGCAUGGCUGUCGUCAGCUCGUGUUGUGAAAUGUUGGGUUAAGUCCCGCAACGAGCGCAACCCUUAUCCUUUGUUGCCAGCGGUCCGGCCGGGAACUCA
rnacentral:rRNA from 1 species